rnacentral:rRNA from 1 species
GACGAACGCUGGCGGCGUGCUUAACACAUGCAAGUCGAACGGAAAGGCCCUGCUUUUGUGGGGUGCUCGAGUGGCGAACGGGUGAGUAACACGUGAGUAACCUUCCCUUGACUUUGGGAUAACUUCAGGAAACUGGGGCUAAUACCGGAUAGGAGCUCCUGCUGCAUGGUGGGGGUUGGAAAGUUUCGGCGGUUGGGGAUGGACUCGCGGCUUAUCAGCUUGUUGGUGGGGUAGUGGCUUACCAAGGCUUUGACGGGUAGCCGGCCUGAGAGGGUGACCGGCCACAUUGGGACUGAGAUACGGCCCAGACUCCUACGGGAGGCAGCAGUGGGGAAUAUUGCACAAUGGGCGGAAGCCUGAUGCAGCAACGCCGCGUGCGGGAUGACGGCCUUCGGGUUGUAAACCGCUUUCGCCUGUGACGAAGCGUGAGUGACGGUAAUGGGUAAAGAAGCACCGGCUAACUACGU